rnacentral:rRNA from 1 species
UACGUAGGUGGCAAGCGUUGUCCGGAAUUAUUGGGCGUAAAGCGCGCGCAGGCGGUCUUUUAAGUCUGAUGUGAAAGCCCACGGCUCAACCGUGGAGGGUCAUUGGAAACUGGGAGACUUGAGUGCAGAAGAGAAGAGUGGAAUUCCACGUGUAGCGGUGAAAUGCGUAGAGAUGUGGAGGAACACCAGUGGCGAAGGCGACUCUUUGGUCUGUAACUGACGCUGAGGCGCGAAAGCGUGGGGAGCAAACAGGG